rnacentral:rRNA from 1 species
CCUACGGGAGGCUGCAGUCGAGAAUCAUUCACAAUGGGGGAAACCCUGAUGGUGCGACGCCGCGUGGGGGAAUGAAGGUCUUCGGAUUGUAAACCCCUGUCAUGUGGGAGCAAAUUAAAAAGAUAGUACCACAAGAGGAAGAGACGGCUAACUCUGUGCCAGCAGCCGCGGUAAUACAGCGGUCUCAAGCGUUGUUCGGAAUCACUGGGCGUAAAGCGUGCGUAGGCUGUUUCGUAAGUCGUGUGUGAAAGGCGCGGGCUCAACCCGCGGACGGCACAUGAUACUGCGAGACUAGAGUAGUGGAGGGGGAAGCGGAAUUCUCGGUGUAGCAGUGAAAUGCGUAGAUAUCGAGAGGAACACUCGUGGCGAAGGCGGGUUCCUGGACAUUAACUGACGCUGAGGCACGAAGGCCAGGGGAGCGAAAGGGAUUAGAUACCCUUGUAGUC